UUGUCUGUUGCAGGAAGCUGUUUUAUUGUUACUUACUGCAACAAUAAGAAGAUAAUGAAACAAUGAAACUCUGCAGGUGUUACUUUUGAAAGAAAUGAAAACAUCAAGUUUCAUAGCUCAAAAACGGCUUGACGAGACAGACGAUACAGAAAGGAAAGCAGAAAGAUUACUGGAAAGGAGAAGCUAAAUUCUUUGAACCUUUUUCAAGCACUUUCUCAGUUUUAGUUCCAGUUGUUGGUGUAAAAAAAAAAAAUCUCUUACACGUUACACAAGAUUAAAUAUAGCAUUAAAGGAA